rnacentral:rRNA from 1 species
GAAGGUCACGGCGAGACGAGCCGUUUGUUUUAGAGUGUCAAAGUCUUGAGAAUUCAGGCGCGGCCCGUCCUUUAGAGCAAAACAAAUAGGUGUCAAGUGGAAGUGCAGUGAUGUAUGCAGCUGAGGCAUCCUAACAGACCGGUAGACUUGAAC